rnacentral:rRNA from 1 species
AUGCGCCCCGGCCGUAUGCGGAACGGCUCUUGCUGGUCCGCCGCUCGGCUCGGGGUGUGGACUAUUGUCGGCCGCGCCGGCGGCCAAAGCCCGGGGGCCCUAGGUGCCCCCGGUGGCCGUCGUCGGCACGGCCGGUACCCGCGCGCCUAA